GAUGAACGCUGGCGGCGUGCUUAACACAUGCAAGUCGAACGAGUGGCGAACGGGUGAGUAAUGUCUGGGAAACUGCCUGAUGGAGGGGGAUAACUACUGGAAACGGUAGCUAAUACCGCAUACCAUCAGAUGUGCCCAGAUGGGAUUAGCUAGUAGGUGGGGUAAUGGCUCACCUAGGCGACGAUCCCUAGCUGGUCUGAGAGGAUGACCAGCCACACUGGAACUGAGACACGGUCCAGACUCCUACGGGAGGCAGCAGUGGGGAAUAUUGCACAAGGGGCGCAAGCCUGAUGCAGCCAUGCCGCGUGUGUGAAGAAGGCCUUCGGGUUGUAAAGCACUUUCAGCGAGGAGGCGUUACUCGCAGAAGAAGCACCGGCUAACUCCGUGCCAGCAGCCGCGGUAAUAC
rnacentral:rRNA from 1 species